rnacentral:rRNA from 1 species
UACGGAGGGUGCGAGCGUUAAUCGGAAUUACUGGGCGUAAAGGGUGCGUAGGUGGUUUGAUAAGUUAUCUGUGAAAUACCCGGGCUUAACCUGGGGGAGUCAGAUAAGACUGUUGAGCUUGAGUACAGGAGAGGGCAGUGGAAUUUCCGGUGUAGCGGUGAAAUGCUUAGAGAUCACACAGAAUAUCGAUUGCGAAGGCAGCUCACAAAGCCAAGAUUGACGCUGAGGCACGAAAGUGUGGGGAUCAAACAGGAUUAGAUA